CCUACGGGAGGCAGCAGUGGGGAAUAUUGGACAAUGGGGGGAACCCUGAUCCAGCCAUGCCGCGUGUGUGAAGAAGGCCCUCGGGUUGUAAAGCACUUUCAGUGAGGAAGAACGCCUGGUGGUUAAUACCCAUCAGGAAAGACAUCACUCACAGAAGAAGCACCGGCUAACUCCGUGCCAGCAGCCGCGGUAAUACGGAGGGUGCGAGCGUUAAUCGUAAUUACUGGGCGUAAAGCGCGCGUAGGUGGCUUGAUAAGCCGGUUGUGAAAGCCCCGGGCUCAACCUGGGAACGGCAUCCGGAACUGUCAAGCUAGAGUGCAGGAGAGGAAGGUAGAAUUCCCGGUGUAGCGGUGAAAUGCGUAGAGAUCGGGAGGAAUACCAGUGGCGAAGGCGGCCUUCUGGACUGACACUGACACUGAGGUGCGAAAGCGUGGGUAGCAAACAGGAUUAGAUACCCUUGUAGUC
rnacentral:rRNA from 1 species